GAUGAACGCUGGCGGCGUGCUUAACACAUGCAAGUCGAGCGGGGUUUGUAGUGGAAAUCCUUCGGGAUGGAAGCUACCGACCUAGCGGCGGACGGGUGAGUAACGCGUGGGCAACCUGCCCUAUGCAGGGGAAUAACAACGAGAAAUCGUUGCUAAUACCGCAUAUUCUUUUGAGAUCGCAUGAUUUUAAGAGGAAAGAUUUAUCGGCAUAGGAUGGGCCCGCGUCUGAUUAGCUAGUUGGUGAGGUAACAGCUCACCAAGGCAACGAUCAGUAGCCGACCUGAGAGGGUGAUCGGCCACAUUGGGACUGAGACACGGCCCAAACUCCUACGGGAGGCUG
rnacentral:rRNA from 1 species